rnacentral:rRNA from 1 species
UACGUAGGGGGCAAGCGUUGUCCGGAAUUAUUGGGCGUAAAGAGCUCGUGGGCGGUUCGUCGCGUCGGCUGUGAAAUCCCGAGGCUCAACCUCGGGUCUGCAGUCGAUACGGGCGGACUGGAGUUCGGCAGGGGAGACUGGAAUUCCUGGUGUAGCGGUGAAAUGCGCAGAUAUCUGGAGGAACACCGGUGGCGAAGGCGGCAUCCUGGACCGGCAUUGACGCUGAGGCGCGAAAGCCAGGGGAGCAAACGGG